rnacentral:rRNA from 1 species
AUGAACGCCUUCAGGUUCCUCGGGGACAUGACCCACCUCUUCUCGGUCAUCGUCCUCCUCCUCAAGAUCUACGCCAACAAGUCAUGCUCAGGGGUGUCGAGGAAGACGCAGGAGCUGUACCUGGCGGUGUUCGUGGCGCGCUACCUCGACCUCUUCACCGACUACAUCUCGCUCUACAACUCCGUCAUGAAGAUCGUCUUCAUCACCACCUCCGCCGCCAUCGUCUGGUACAUGCGCCGCCACCCGCAGGUGCGCCGCACCUACGACCGGGACCAGGACACCUUCCGCCACGUCUUCCUCGUCGCCGCGGCCUUCGCGCUCGCGCUCAUCUUCAACGAGCGCUUCACCCUCCGCGAGAUAUGCUGGGCAUUUUCGAUUUACCUGGAGGCAGUGGCGAUUCUACCUCAGUUAGUUCUACUCCAGAGAAGCAGAAAUGUGGAUAACUUGACUGGACAAUAUGUUCUCUUUCUCGGGGCCUACCGUGCAUUCUACAUUCUAAACUGGAUCUACCGUUAUUUCACAGAGGGUCACCAAAGCAGAUGGAUCCCUUGGAUUGCUGGUUUGGUUCAAACUGGUCUAUACGCAGAUUUCUUCUACUACUAUUUCUUAAGUUGGAAGAACAACGUGAAGCUUGAGCUGCCUGCCUGA